rnacentral:rRNA from 1 species
UACGAAGGGGGCUAGCGUUGCUCGGAAUUACUGGGCGUAAAGGGAGCGUAGGCGGAUAGUUCAGUCAGAGGUGAAAGCCCAGGGCUCAACCUUGGAACUGCCUUUGAUACUGGCUAUCUUGAGUUUGGGAGAGGUGUGUGGAACUCCGAGUGUAGAGGUGAAAUUCGUAGAUAUUCGGAAGAACACCAGUGGCGAAGGCGGCUUACUGGUCCGGUUCUGACGCUGAGGCGCGAAAGCGUGGGGAGCAAACAGG